rnacentral:rRNA from 1 species
UAGCCCAGAGAAAUUUGGAUUAAUACCCCGUGGUAAAUAUAAAUGGCAUCGUUUAUAUUUUAAAGUUUUCGGACGGUACAGGAUGGCUAUGCGUCCUAUUAGUUAGAUGGUGAGGUAACGGCUCACCAUGGCAGCGAUAGGUAGGGGCCCUGAGAGGGGGAUCCCCCACACUGGUACUGAGACACGGACCAGACUCCUACGGGAGGCAGCAGUGAGGAAUAUUGGACAAUGGGCGGAAGCCUGAUCCAGCCAUGCCGCGUGCAGGAAGACGGCCCUAUGGGUUGUAAACUGCUUUUAUACGGGAAGAAUAAGGGACACGUGUGUCCUGGUGACGGUACCGUAAGAAUAAGGACCGGCUAACUCCGUGCCAGCAGCCGCGGUAAUACGGAGGGUCCGAGCGUUAUCCGGAAUUAUUGGGUUUAAAGGGUCCGCAGGCGGGCAAUUAAGUCAGGGGUGAAAUGGUGCGGCUCAACCGUAGCACUGCCCUUGAUACUGGUUGUCUUGAGUCAUAGUGAAGUGGCCGGAAUAUGUAGUGUAGCGGUGAAAUGCAUAGAUAUUACAUAGAACACCGAUUGCGAAGGCAGGUCACUAACUAUCGACUGACGCUGAUGGACGAAAGCGUGGGGAGCGAACGGG